rfam:Escherichia coli B7A gcontig_1112495748552, whole genome shotgun sequence.
CCAGCUAUCCCAUUAGCUGUAGCCUACCGGGACAGGCGCUGCCGGCAACGGCGGGGUCUGAAGCUCCCGGGACAACGAGAGCCGGGCUGCAAGCAUCAUGCGGCAGGAGAG